rnacentral:rRNA from 1 species
UGGCGGACGGGUGAGUAACGCGUGAGGAACCUGCCUUGGAGUGGGGAAUAACACAGUGAAAAUUGUGCUAAUACCGCAUAAUGCAGUUGGGCCGCAUGGCUCUGACUGCCAAAGAUUUAUCGCUCUGAGAUGGCCUCGCGUCUGAUUAGCUAGUUGGUGGGGUAACGGCCCACCAAGGCGACGAUCAGUAGCCGGACUGAGAGGUUGGCCGGCCACAUUGGGACUGAGACACGGCCCAGACUCCUACGGGAGGCAGCAGUGGGGAAUAUUGGGCAAUGGGCGCAAGCCUGACCCAGCAACGCCGCGUGAAGGAAGAAGGCUUUCGGGUUGUAAACUUCUUUUCUUAGGGACGAAGCAAGUGACGGUACCUAAGGAAUAAGCCACGGCUAACUACGUGCCAGCAGCCGCGGUAAUACGUAGGUGGCAAGCGUUAUCCGGAUUUACUGGGUGUAAAGGGCGUGUAGGCGGGAUUGCAAGUCAGAUGUGAAAACCACGGGCUCAACCUGUGGCCUGCAUUUGAAACUGUAGUUCUUGAGUACUGGAGAGGCAGACGGAAUUCCUAGUGUAGCGGUGAAAUGCGUAGAUAUUAGGAGGAACACCAGUGGCGAAGGCGGUCUGCUGGACAGCAACUGACGCUGAGGCGCGAAAGCGUGGGGAGCA